UUUGAAAUGUAAUGUAAGUCGCUUUGGAUAAAAGCGUCAGCUAAAUGACCUGUA
rfam:Gasterosteus aculeatus cont1.003114, whole genome shotgun sequence.